AACCAUCAUAGAAAAUUCUCACCCUUUGAUCUUUUAUGUUUUUUUCUUUAAUAACCAUACGUCAGCUUCCAUGUGCCUUCUUUGUGUGUUUGUGUAACUAAGUGUGAGAGAGAGAGAGAGAGCUUAUCAAUUAUAAGAACCAUUACCUGGAACUCACGAACUUUAAAUGUGGGACUAAGAAUAGCACAUUCUAAAGCACAUCCUUUGGCAACACUUUCACUGGCAUUCAUUGUACGCCUGGGCUCCUUCCCAAAAAACUCGGUCAAUAUCUUCAUAAUAGCAGGAACUCGAGAGCCUGAACCAACAACUUCAACUGUAUGAAUAUUCUCAACAGUAAGUCCAGCUUCUGCAAGAGCUUUCUCCAAUGGUUUCUUAACACGCUCCAAUAUUGGAACACUAAUUUGCUCAAAUUCCUCUCUCUUAAUAUGACCUCUGACAUCCUUCUCAUCCAUCAAGCACUCAAUGUUCAAAGGUGCCUCGGGAUUUGCACUGAGAACCUUUUUCAACUUCUCACAAGCUGCACGAAGCCUGAGGCAAGCCCUGGCAUUCUGGAAGACAUCAAUCUUGUAUUCCUCCUGGAACUUUGCAGCAAAGUGUUGGAAAAGAACUUCAUCAAAAUCCCUUCCACCAAGGGACCUGUCAAAAGAAUGGGCCAAUAUUUUCAGCUGACCUUUCUUUAGAGCAGCAAUACAAACUUGCAUACUUCCAUGCCCAACAUCAACAAAAGCAACAUGUAACGGGUCAUUCUCAGGUAAGUCAGUCUUGUAAAUACCAUAAGCUAAAGCCGUAGCAGUAGUCUCAUGAAUAAGUCUGAGAGGGUGCAAUCCAGCUAUUGUUGCAGCAUCUAUGACAGCUCUCCUCUGAAGGUCUGUGAAAUAAACGGGUAUACCAAUGCAGCAAUCUACAACCGCUGCUUUCAAAUUCUUUUCAGCAAUACUCUUCAAAUCGGAAAGAACCAUUCCCAAGACCUGGGUAGGUGUAAAAGUCCUCAUUUCUCCCAAAUAACGUGCAUGAAUCAAAGGAUAUCCAUCAGGCCCUUCGGUCACAGAAAAGGGUAAGGCUUUGAGAUCCUGCUGCAGCUCAGGAUCUGAAUACUGGCGUCCAAUCAACCUCUUUAUUUGGGAUAUUGUAUUUUUGGGAUUCAUCAUGCUCGAUGCAGCUCCUGCUGUUCCAAGGAAUCUCUGUUUGUCACCAAAGCAUACGACAGCAGGAGUCUCACGCUUGGACUCAUCAUUAAGAACGACGUCAAUACCUCUUUGCCUUGCAACAGCAACCACACAGCUCUCAUUCCCAAAGUCAAAACCCACCACACUCAUGUUUACUAGACUGGACAAAGUUGCAGCAGCGAGUGCCUCAAAUUCAAAAAAACCAAAUGACCUGAUGAACAUAAAGUCACAUUUAACAUUCAUCAAACUCAUCCACAUCCAGUUAUCUUUUCUAUUU
rnacentral:lncRNA from 1 species